UCACUGGGUUUAAAGGGUCCGUAGGCGGUUUUGUAAGUCAGUGGUGAAAGCCCAUCGCUCAACGGUGGAACGGCCAUUGAUACUGCAAGACUUGAAUUAUUAGGAAGUAACUAGAAUAUGUAGUGUAGCGGUGAAAUGCUUAGAGAUUACAUGGAAUACCAAUUGCGAAGGCAGGUUACUACUAAUAUAUUGACGCUGAUGGACGAAAGCGUGGGUAGCGAACAGGAUUAGAUACCCUGGUAGUCCACGCCGUAAACGAUGGAUACUAGCUGUUCGGAGCAGUCUGAGUGGCUAAGCGAAAGUGAUAAGUAUCCCACCUGGGGAGUACGUUCGCAAGAAUGAAACUCAAAGGAAUUGACGGGGGCCCGCACAAGCGGUGGAGCAUGUGGUUUAAUUCGAUGCUACGCGAGGAACCUUA
rnacentral:rRNA from 1 species